AACGUAGGAGGCAAGCGUUAUCCGGAUUUACUGGGCGUAAAGGCGUGUGCAGGCGGUUGUCCAAGUCGUGUAUGAAAGCGGCUCCGCCUUAACGGGGCGAGGCUAGACGAGACUGGGCGACUAGAAUCAGACAGAGGCAAGCGGAAUUCCGGGUGUAGUGGUGAAAUGCGUAGAGAUCCGGAGGAACACCAGAGGCGCAGGCGGCUUGCUGGGUCUGUAUUGACGCUCGAGACACGAA
rnacentral:rRNA from 1 species